UACGUAGGGGGCAAGCGUUGUCCGGAUUCAUUGGCGUAAAGAGCGUGUAGGCGGCCAGGUAGGUCGGUUGUGAAACUGGAGGCUCAACCUUCAGAGGUCGACCGAAACCAUCUGGCUAGAGUCCGGGAGAGGAGAGUGGAAUCCUGGUGUAGCGGUGAAAUGACGCAGAUAUCAGGAAGAACACCCGUGGCGAAAGCGGCUCUCUGGAACGGUACUGACGCUGAGGCGCGAAAGCUAGGGGAGCGAAACGGG
rnacentral:rRNA from 1 species